UGUAAGUUGUUAUCAGAGUGAAGAUGCCUUCCUAGAAGUAAGUUGCUCUUCAGUAGGGCUCCUGGACUCUAAGGAACCUUCCCUCUUUUUGUAGAGAGAGGAAGAGGGGAAACAUGCUCAGGCCCACUGUUAACAACAGGGCUUAACUUCAAGGGGGAAGAAAACCUAGCUGUGAGUCAAAUAUACUCAGAACAUUAUUCUAAAUAAAUCACAAACAGAAACCACAAA